rnacentral:lncRNA from 1 species
UUCUUGUGAAAAUUUAGUUAAUUACAUAGUUUCCUACGUAGCCCAUGUUAAAACUUUAGUUUUGGUUGAGGAUAUAGCAUUCGGCCAUUUACAUGAGUUUUGCUAAAUUAUUGAUAGUUGAAUGUUGGUUUUAAGGAAUGAAUAAUUGUGAUUGUAAUGGAGUUUCAUGUUGCUUAGGUGAUGAAUUAAGCAAUUUUUGCAAUUGGACAUAUUGAUGAGAUGCAAGGAUUUUGUUUUUUGUUUUUUAUAAAUGCAAAUUCGUUCAUGGAAUUUGAUGUAUUUCUUAUUAAAUUUUGAUGAAUUUUGUUAUAGGAGAAAUUAAGGAUGAAUUUGAGUUGGCUAUUAGUGAUUUGUGUGAAUCAUUUAGCUAAGUGAGGUAUUCGGCUAGGUCCAUUUGAACAAAUGUUUUGGUGUUGGCUGUUUAAAUGAUAUUAUUUUUGUAUUAAGUUGAAUUGGAAGAUUGAUAAAUGUGUUAAAGAUGACUCAAGACUUAUAUAUGCAUACGGCAAUAGCUAAGGAGUGGG